GAGUGCUGGGAUACCACCUUGAAUUCUCUUAAGCUUGUCUGAUCUCAGAAGCUAAGCAGGGUCGGGCCUGGUACUGU
rnacentral:rRNA from 1 species